UCUUUUCCUUUUUUUUCAGCCGCCGCGGUAAUACGUAGGUGGCAAGCGUUAUCCGGAUUUACUGGGCGUAAAGGGAGCGUAGGCGGAUAUUUAAGUGGGAUGUGAAAUACCCGAGCUUAACUUGGGAGCUGCAUUCCAAACUGGAUAUCUAGAGUGCAGGAGAGGAGAAUGGAAUUCCUAGUGUAGCGGUGAAAUGCGUAGAGAUUAGGAAGAACACCAGUGGCGAAGGCGAUUCUCUGGACUGUAACUGACGCUGAGGCUCGAAAGCGUGGGGAGCAAACAGG
rnacentral:rRNA from 1 species